CAGUAGCCGCGGUAAUGCGUAGGUGGCAAGCGUUGUCCGGAAUUAUUGGGCGUAAAGGGAGCGUAGGCGGUCGGGUAAGUUGGAUGUGAAAUCCCGGGGCUCAACCUCAGAACUGCAUUCAAUACUGCUUGGCUAGAGUACUGGAGAGGUGAGUGGAAUUCACGGUGUAGCAGUGAAAUGCGUAGAUAUCGUGAGGAAGACCAGCGGCGAAGGCGGCUCACUGGACAGUUACUGACGCUGAUGCUCGAAGGCCAGGGGAGCAAACGGGAUUAGAUACCCCUGUAGUCCCUGUCUCUUAUAC
rnacentral:rRNA from 1 species